CCUACGGGUGGCAGCAGUGGGGAAUAUUGCGCAAUGGGCGAAAGCCUGACGCAGCGACGCCGCGUGAGGGAUGAAGGUCUUCGGAUCGUAAACCUCUGUCAGCAGGGAAGAACGGUCACUGUGCUAAUCAGCAGGGACUUGACGGUAACUGCAAAGGAAGCACCGGCUAACUCCGUGCCAGCAGCCGCGGUAAUACGGAGGGUGCGAGCGUUAAUGGGAAGUACGGGGCGUAAAGCGCUCGUAGGCGGUAUGUCAAGUCAAGGGUGAAAUCCCCGGGCUCAACGUGGGAACUGCUCUUGAUACUGGCAAACUGGAGUGUGUGAGAGGAUAGUGGAAUUCCAGGUGG
rnacentral:rRNA from 1 species